GAUGAACGCUGGCGGCGUGCCUAAUACAUGCAAGUCGAGCGAACGGACGAGAAGCUUGCUUCUCUGAUGUUAGCGGCGGACGGGUGAGUAACACGUGGAUAACCUACCUAUAAGACUGGGAUAACUUCGGGAAACCGUAGCUAAUACCGGAUAAUAUUUUGAACCGCAUGGUUCAAAAGUGAAAGACGGUCUUGCUGUCACUUAUAGAUGGAUCCGCGCUGCAUUAGCUAGUUGGUAAGGUAACGGCUUACCAAGGCGACGAUGCAUAGCCGACCUGAGAGGGGUAUACGCCCACACUGAACCGGAGACCCGUUCCGAACCCCAAGGGGGGGCGCCGUAGGGAAUCUUCCGCAAUGGGCGAAAGCCUGACGGAGCAACGCCGCGUGAGUGAUGAAGGUCUUCGGAUCGUAAAACUCUGUUAUUAGGGAAGAACAUAUGUGUAAGUAACUGUGCACAUCUUGACGGUACCUAAUCAGAAAGCCACGGCUAACUACGUG
rnacentral:rRNA from 1 species